AAAUUAGAAUCCAAGGAAGUUGACAUGUCAUCACUUCAUUUUUUUGCGCCUGCGCAUAAAUCUGAGAAACGUGAGUUUUGUCUUCAUUGUUUAUCUCGACAUAGGAUAGGUUGUGUGAAAAUAUUACUGAUGUUUAACGUUAAAAAUGGACCAAAAGAUUAAUGCUAAACAACAUUUGACAUGUUUGAACGAACAUAAAUAGAUUAUUUACUCGUUUUUUUUUAGCUUUUCGGCGUGAUUUUACAGUCCCCCACCACGUUUUGUGGGAGCAUAAUGAACGCUAAGUACUUGGUGUUAUUUGGACAUAAAUUAUGAACUUUGUCAAAAGAAACCACAUUUGUUCCGGACCUGGGAUGCCUUCCGGACCUGGGAUGCCUGUCUUCUGAUGGAGAUAAUCAAAGGCGCUACAGUUAUGUAUGCCAUUCCACUCUUCUGGGAAGGCUUUCCACUAGAUGAUGGAACAUUGAUGCUGGGACCUGCUUCCAUUCAGCCACAAGAGCAUUAGUGAGGACCUGAGCCCUAGGACCAUGCCUCAGGACUACCUGGUAUGAUGACUUCUUGCUGUCCCCAGUCCACCUGGCCGUGCUGCUGCUCCAGUUUCAACUGUUCUGCCUGCGGCUAUGGAACCCUGACCUGUUCACCGGACGUGCUUGUUGCACCCUCGACAACUACUAUGAUUAUUAUUAUUUGACCAUGCUGGUCAUUUAUGAACAUUUUAACAUUUUAACAUCUUGACCAUGUUCUGUUAUAAUAUCCACCCUGCACAGCCAGAAGAGGACUGGCCACCCCUCAUAGCCUGGUUCCGCUCUAGGUUUCUUCCUAGGUUUUUGGCCUUUCUAGGGAGUUUUUCCUAGGGAGUUUUUCCUAGCCACCGUGCUUCUUUCACAUGCUUUGCUUGCUGUUUGGGGUUUUAGGCUGGGUUUCUGUACAGCACUUUGAGAAUAUCAGCUGAUGUACGAAGGGCUAUAUAAAAAUAAAUUUGAUUUGGAGUUUUUCUUUGCACUUGCAAUAUAGUCUUGCAAAACUCUGCAUGCAGUACUUCGAUUGGCUGUUUGUCUCAUUUGGUAAAUUCAUUAUUAGAGAAUGGACCCCAUACUUCGCUGCCAUAUAGACCAAUUGGUUCUAUAACUGAUCUGAAAAUUUAGCCAGAUUUUAAUUGGAAUUUUAAUUUUAAUGUUCCUUUUAAUGGCAUAGAAUGCUCUUCUUGCUUUGUCUCUCAGAUCGUACACAGCCAUGUGAAAGCUACCUGUGUUGCUGCUAUUUAGUCCUAGAUACGUGUGUAGUUUUUAGCAUGUUCUGAUAGAACUGUGUCCAAAUAUAAUUUAUAUUAGUGAUCCUGAUUUCCCGACCUCUUUUGGAAUAUCAUUACAUUCGUUAUUUUUUAGGUUAACGGUCAGACCCCAGGUCCGACAGAACCUGUGCAGAUGAUCUAGAUGCUGCUUUAAUCCCUCCUUAGUGGGAAACGGCAGCACCAGGUCAUCUGCGUACAGCAGACACUUGAUUUCAGUGUUGUCGGUUGAGACCAGGUGCUGCAGAUUCUUCAAAUGUUUUUGCCAAUUCAUUCAUGUAGAUGUUAAAUAGUGUUGGACUUAUUGAGCAGCCCUGUUUCACUCCACGUCUCAGAGAUGUUUGCUAGUUGCCCAUUUUAACUGCACAUUUGUUUAUAGUGUACAUUGAUUUAAUUACAUACGUUUUCCCUCCAAUACUACUUUCUAUUAGUUUAUUUUAAAAAAGACCUUUGUGCCAAAUUGAAUCAAAUGCUUUCUUGAAGUCUACAAAACAUGAGUAGAUUUUGCCUUUGUUUUGGUUUAGUGUGUUUGUCAAUUAUAGUGUGUUGGGUAUAUAUGUGGUCUGUUGUCCGGUAAUUUGUUACAAAUCCAAUUUGGCUUCUGCUCAGGACGUUGUGUUCAUCAAGGAAAUGACAUAGUCUGCUAUUUAUGAUAUUGCAGAGAAUUUUCCCCAAGUUGCUGUUAAUGCAACUUCCUCUUUAAUUAUUUCGGUCAAAUUUGUCUCGAUUUUUAUAGAUUGGUGUGAUCAAUCCUUGGGUCCAAAUAUCGGGGAAAAUACCUGCAGUGCAGGAUAAUGUUGAAAAGUUUGAGUGUAGCCAAUUUGAAUUUGUGGUCUGUAAAUUUAAUAAUUUCAUUUGAAAUACCAUCAGCACCACAGGCCUUUUUGGGUUGUAGAGUGUAUUGUUUUUCUAAUAAUUCUUAUUCUGAUUCAAGGAUUUGUAAUUUUUCUUGUAUAUCUUGUUGUUCUGGGCUCUUUGUUAUAUUGCUGUAGAGGUUUGCAAAGUGAUUUCUCCACAUAUCACCAUUAUGGAUAGCCAAUUCCUCAUGUGGUUCGUUUAAUUUAUUCCAAUUCUCCCAGAAGUGGUUUGACUCUAUGGAUUCCUCAAUUACAUCCAGCUAAUUUCUAAUGUGCUGUUUCUUUUUUGUUCUUAGGGUGUGAUUGUAUUGCUUCAGUGUUUCCCCAUAUUGAAAGAGUGUAUUUUUGUCUGGUUCUCUGUUUUUGAUUAGAUACAUUUCUCAAUGACUUCCUUAGAUUGUUGUUAUCAUUAUCAGACCAUUUUUCAUGAUCUAUUAUUUUUGGUUUGCUCUUAUGUUUUUUAGAUUAGCCAAGGAGGCUAAUUUGUCAAAUAUAAAGUUUCUGUUCCAAACGUCCAAAUUUACAUCUUCAUUGCUGUAGGAGAAUGUUAAGGCUAAAAAGUUAUCCAGGAGAGAUUGUAUUUGUUGGCUACUAAUUGCUUUUUGGUAGAUUUCUGUAAUGUUUACACUCCGUCUGUAAGCCUGUUUAGUAGCAUGUAAUUUAUUGGGCCGUGAUGCUUCAUGGUUAGGUUCCGCUCUCCUCAGAUAAACUGUGAUUUUACUGUGGUCUGAGAGAGGUGUUAGUGGGCUGAAUGUGAAGGCUCUGAGAGACUCUGGGUUGAGGUCGGUGAGUCUGCCUGUCGCUCUCACUCUCGCUCUCUUUUGGUCUGCCUAGCUCUCUCUCUUCAUCUCUUUCGAUCUGCCCAUCUCAUGCUCUCUCUCUCUUUGUCUGCCUAUAUAUAUAUAUCUCUUCAGUCUGCCACUCAAUCUCUUUCGGUCUGCCCAUCUCUCUCUCUCACUCUUUCAGUCUGCAUAUCUCUCGCUCUCUCAAAUGGCUUUAUUGGCAUGGGAAACGUGUUUACAUUGCCAAAGCAAGUGAAAUAGAUUAUGAACAAAAGUGAAAAACAAUAAAAAAUGUACAGUUAACAUUACACUCACAGAAGUUCCAAAGAAAUAGAGACAUAUCAAAUGUCAUUAUGGCUAUAUAUAUAGCGUAACGAUGUACAAAGGGAAAAUAAAUAUGGGUUGUAUUUACAAUGGUGUGUGUACUUCACUGGUUGCCCUUUUCUUGUGGCAACAGGUCACAAAUCUUGUUGCUGUAAUGACACUGGUCAUUCACCCAAUAGAUAUAGGAGUUUAUCAAAAUUGGAUUGGUUUUCAAAUUCUUUGUGGAUCUGUGUAA
rnacentral:lncRNA from 1 species